GCUGCUGACAAAAACAUAUACGACGUGUCAAUACUUAGAAACAUUCUUCAUGAAAAUACCUAAAAUGACAAGUAACUUGAAUAUACUCAGUUGUGGUUUCCCACAAAGUAAUUUGCAUACUGUUUCCUUCAAAUAAAUGGAUUUACACAAAAAUGUCCCCAGCUUUUAUUUACUAACCCUAAAGGAAAUUUAUCACCACAUGUAUCACCUCCAAAAGAUUCAAUGGCUUUCUCUGUCGCCUUCUGAAUUCACUGAUAUCUGCUUCAUGUAUACUCUGGCUUGUCUUCACUCAAACAUAUUAUCCUUGAGCUUAAAGGCCACAUCAUACUCUUGAAAACACACAUUUUCCAGAGGGUUCUUCUGUAUAUGGUCUGAUGUGUAGCCAUCUACUGACCCUUUCAGAGUUUCUAUAAAAGGGAGAACCUUCUUACCUCACAGUGCCAUUGUAAGGAUUAAAACUGCAUGUUCCGGAAGUUCUGGCACACGAGACAGGAUCAUUCUCCUCCUCCACAGUGAACAUUUAUGGACUAACCAACUGUACGCACAAAGCAGACUGACCAAGAAGAGCUAUACUUGGCAUUCAUGGCAGUUCUUUCAGCAGCUAUCAGCUAAAAUGAGCUAGGAGCCAGUGGAUUACUUCUUGGAUAACCUCUAAGGAAAAAAAAAAUACUGUUCGGCACUCGAAGGAAAUGAACUAUCAAGCCAUGAAAAGGCAUAGAGGAAACUUAAAUGCAUACUACUAAGUGAAAGAAACCAACCUGAGAAGUCUGAAAACAGUAUGAUUUCAACUAUAUGACAUUUUGGAGAAGGCAAACUAUGGAGGCAGUAAAAAGAUCAGCAGCUGCCAGGGCAUUCCUCUAGGCUCUGCGAUAUGGAGACGGGCCCCUUGAACACUGCUCUGUGACCAGCAGCACCAGGUUAAGCUCCGUCAGUGCAGGGAGCUGGAGAUCCGCUGGAGGAGAGAGGGUUUUCGCCUCCAGGGUCCAGGACACCACUCUGGCCAGGCCCUCGCCGUACCUGCUUCUCUAGCGCCUUGCUCCCGCCAGGAGCGGCUUCUUUAGCACCCGAGGCCCACAGCGCACAGAAGCGCCUCGGACCCGGCGCCGCGCCGCGCCGAGCAGCUUCCCGCCUGCUGCCACCCGCGAGGCACCUCCCCAUGAGCAGCUCUCCCUAACACCGCCUCGUGUGCAGCAAAUCCCCAGAGGCGGCACCAUCCUGGCCUCCACCAGCACCCCAGAGGGAGAACGGCCAGGAGGGUGCUUUUGAGACGCCGACUUCACCCUCCAGUGAGCAAGGCCCGCACUCCCCAAGGCCCGGGUCUCAGACGCAGGAAGAGGGCAGCCUCUGGGGGCGCUCCAGCUCAGCCCUGGGGUAGCAGGUACCUACUAAAUCUGCUCUUCCUGAAUUCAUUAAAGUUGUCUUUACUUUUGGCUAACCAAUUCUUGUCCCUUGAAUCAUGUUAUAGUUAAUAAUUCCGUCCAUUCAACU